UAGGGGGAAGAUAAAUAAGGAGCGGGGCAGGGUAGGCGACCGAGCGAGCGGGAAGUCAAAGUCAAGGUGUGAGCGGAGAGCGGCAGAAGCGCUUAGGGUCUACAGAGCAGCUAAAACUACCCGCGCCGCGGUAAAAACACCACUAAAACAACAACAAACGGGGCCUGAGCGGGGCACCUCGCCGGUACCACUUCUGGGGGUUAUCGUGGGGGUUCCGGUUCCGGUUCCGCCGGAGGAGGCCGCGGCCGCCGCGACGGUCCGGCAGGGGCCGCUCGCGAAGGCCGAGACCAAGUCGCUUCCGCAGCUUCAAAUUCUUUGCCUUUCGGUAACCGCGGCCGCGUUUCCAGCGCCGGGGACGACACCGUCGCCGGCUACCCAGCUGGAGGCGCCCGCGACGGCCGUCCCUGCUUGGACGGGGACGCAGACACGGCUUUGGCAGGUGAGGAAGACCACGUAGCGGACGCUGUAGAAACUUCGGUCGGUGGCAUCGACUUCCUAGUAGACGACGGGUCCAUGACCGUGGUUUCGGUCUGUGGCGACUUCUUCGUAGUCGUAGCUGAGGUUUCGGUUUCGGUUUCGGUUUCGGUUUCGUCCGACUACGACGUCGACGGUGGUCGUUACCCCGCCCACGAUCGCCAUCAUCACCACCAUCGUUCUUCUUAUCCUUCCCCGUAUUCCUCUCCGAAUACCGAACCUUCCCUUUCCCCUUCGUCCUCCUCCGUGUCCCCUUAUGCUUCCCCUACCCCUUCCUCCUCCCCCGCGUCCCCUUAUUCUUCCCCUACCCCUUCCUCCUCCCCCGUGUCCCCUUAUUCUUCCCCUACCCCUUCCUCCUCCCCCGCGUCCCCUUAUUCUUCCCCUAUCCCUUCCUCCUCCCCUGGUUCUUUCUUCCCCCACCACUAUCGUCCCCUCCUCCCGAAUAGAAGUACACGUUACGUGUCUGAUUCGGCCUCACGAAGGUCUUGGCGCACAAACCGUACGGAUACCCCUUCUUCCUCUACCACCUCUUCCAGGCUGGUCCCUGUUUCCAUAAGGACAUACUAAAACUGAACUCCGACGAUAUACCUCACAUGUUCCGCUGUAGUUUCCCGCCCUAUUUGGAAUAGUCUUUACGUAAAUUGCCCUUCAAAGGACGAGUCCACUUUAAAUGUUGACUAUUUCUAACGGAAGGAGAAGGACUCUCAUGAAAGUUCGUACGGUAGUUUCUCUUGAUGUCACGUUCGGCGUUUAAGCUGGGACUCUAGUGGAGAUGUGUUCAAGCAUCCGACUACCGAGAUAAGUUCGGAUAGUGACAUGUCGUUAGUCGAGGUUCCCCAGUAGAUCUACCUUCCAUGGUGGUACUUCUUUCUUCCGUAGUUGUACUUCUAUCCGGUGUAGGUAACGUACAACUUCUGUCCGCGGGCGUCCUACUAGUGUCUAUAAUAGUUGUUCGUGGAGGACGUGGGCUCAGAGUUGUGUAAGGAGAACGGGGGCUCCGAGCGGUUCAAGGAUAACGGUGUCCCGGAGUGAUACGCGGAAGACAUGGUCUCGGAGCCGUACAGGGUGAUCACAUAAUGGUGGUAAACCGAGGAAGUAGACUACUAAGAAUGAUGGCAAGAGCUCACCUAGGUCACGUACUCGCGUAACGACGGUCUUGUGGAGGUUCCCUAAUGCGUCGUGUCGAACCCCUCAACCGACGAGCACGACUGGUGUACAGCCUAGAGAUGGCUUGGUGACAAGUACUACGAGCGGACCUCCUAGGAAUGGCGGGUCCUCUCGAACGACGGGCACCACGAGCACACCUCCUUGAGAUGGCGGGUCCUCUCUAACGAAGAGCGCCACUAGCACACCGCCUAGAGAUGGUCCUAGAGAUGGCGAGACGUCUCCGAGGAAGAGCACCACGAGCAUACCUCCUAGAGAUGGCAGGUCCUCUCCAACGACGAGCGCUACAAGCAUACCUCCUAGGGAUGGCAGUUCCUCCCUAUCUACGAGCACCAAGAAUACCCCCCGAGAUGGCAAGACUGGUCGAUUUACGAGCACGGCAUCUAGAGGGUGUAAGAAUAGUCUGGAGGUUGGGACGAAUACGACUUCGGUCAGUCUCUGGACAGGGAUGUCGUUCCCGGUUGCCUGGUCCACGGGGCCAAAGGAGUGAGAUAAGGAAGCGACCUCGCGGUCGUAUAGCUACUUAAAAGAGUCGUAAAGUGUACGCCACGGAACCCAGCCAACAUGACGGUCAACACAGCAACCUACAAAUGAAAAACCAAUUUUUGAUAUCGAAUUGACACUCUUCAGCCCUACAAAACAAGAGAAUAGAACAUACGAACAAUUUGACGAAUGGCCUACUUACCGUAAGUCCAAGUCUGAUACGACAGGUACAACGACACAACUACAAUGAUACAAAAG
rnacentral:rRNA from 1 species